UACGGAGGGUGCGAGCGUUGUUCGGAAUCACUGGGCGUAAAGGGCGUGUAGGCGGUCCGCUAAGUCUGAUGUGAAAGCCCGGGGCUCACCCCCGGAAGUGCAUUGGAAACUGGCGGACUCGAGUCCCGGAGAGGAGAGUGGAAUUCCUGGUGUAGCGGUGAAAUGCGUAGAUAUCAGGAAGAACACCCGUGGCGAAGGCGGCUCUCUGGGACGGUACUGACGCUGAGACGCGAAAGCGUGGGGAGCGAACAGG
rnacentral:rRNA from 1 species